UACGUAGGGGGCAAGCGUUGUCCGGAAUCAUUGGGCGUAAAGGGCUCGUAGGCGGCCAACUAAGUCGGAUGUGAAAUCCCCAAGCUUAACUUGGGAACUGCAUCCGAUACUGGAUGGCUUGAAUCCGGGAGAGGGAUGCAGAAUUCCAGGUGUAGCGGUGAAAUGCGUAGAUAUCUGGAGGAAUACCGGUGGCGAAGGCGGCAUCCUGGACCGGCAUUGACGCUGAGGAGCGAAAGCUAGGGGAGCAAACGGG
rnacentral:rRNA from 1 species